UACAGAGGGUGCGAGCGUUUAAUCGGAAUUACUGGGCGUAAAGCGCGCGUAGGCGGCUUUGCAAGUCGGGUGUGAAAUCCCCAGGCUCAACCUGGGAACUGCAUUCGAGACUGCAUUGCUAGAGUAUGGGAGAGGGAAGUGGAAUUUCCGGUGUAGCGGUGAAAUGCGUAGAUAUCGGAAGGAACAUCAGUGGCGAAAGCGACUUCCUGGACCAAUACUGACGCUCAUGUGCGAAAGCGUGGGGAGCAAACAGG
rnacentral:rRNA from 1 species